rnacentral:rRNA from 1 species
UACAGAGGUGGCAAGCGUUGUUCGGAAUUACUGGGCGUAAAGGGCGCGUAGGCGGCCUUCUAAGUCAGACGUGAAAUCCCCCGGCUUAACCUGGGAACUGCGUCUGAUACUGGGAGGCUUGAGUAUGGGAGAGGGAUGUAGAAUUCCAGGUGUAGCGGUGAAAUGCGUAGAUAUCAGGAGGAACACCAAUUGCGAAGGCAGCUCGCUGGGACGUUACUGACGCUGAGACGCGAAAGCGUGGGGAGCAAACAGG